GUGUUUAUUAAACAGAAAUGCAUAAAGGAAUCACACUUCAUAGUCAAUGUCUGGGAGUUCCAUGAAAUACCUGAUCGACUGAAAAGUGAAUUAAUGAAUUUAAAGGAUAUACAUUGUACUUAUGAUGUUUGGGGAAUCCAGUGUUGGGAAAGGUACCCAAUUGUCAUACUUGAGUGAAAGUAAAAAUACCUUAAUAGAAAAUAAAGUUACCCAGUUAAAUACAACUUGAGUAAAAGUCUAAAAGUAUUUGGUUUUAAAUAUACUUAAGUAUCAAAAGUUUUAUGUAAUUGCUCAGAUAUACUCAACAGUAAAAGUAUAAAUCAUUACAAAAACCUUAUAUUAAACAAACCAGACCGCCACCAUUUUCUUGUUUACUUUAUUUACGGAUAGCCAGGGGUACACUCCAACACUCAGACAUCUUUAUAAACUAAGCAUUUGUGUUUUGUGAGUCCACCAGAUCAGAGACAGUAGGGAUGACCAGGGAUGUUCUCUUGAUAAGCGUAUGAAUUUAUCCAUUUUCCUGUCCUGCUAAGCAUUCAAAAGGUAAUUUUUGGAUGUCAAGGACAAUGUAUGGGGUAAAAUGUACAUUAUUUUCUUCAGGAAUUUUGUGAAGCAAAAGUAAAAGUUGUCAGAAAUAUAUAUAUAGUAAAGUAAAGUACAGAUACCCCCAAAAACUGUUUAAGUAGUACUUUUCACCUGUUUAACGUCCACCUGGGGCAGGGGCUGGGGCUGGGGCAGGGGCUGGGGCAGGGGCUGGUGCUGGGACAGAGGCAGCAAACAGUUUAAGUAGAAGUUGAAGUAGCUGAUUUGAAUUCAACUGUGGCAGGGAGGGCAGAAAGGAACCAGCCUAAAUAGGAAAAGAAAACAGCAGUUUUUUUCUCAUUCAAUGUCCUUUUGAUAUACACACCACACAUGGAAUCAUAUCUCAGAAUAUUCACAUAUGUUUCAUACACAUUGAUGUUCACUACUAUAUGUUAAAUCAUUUCUGCUCAUAAUCUGUGGAGCUAU
ensembl:lncRNA